rnacentral:rRNA from 1 species
CCUACGGGCGGCUGCAGUGGGGAAUAUUGGACAAUGGGCGCAAGCCUGAUCCAGCCAUACCGCGUGAGUGAAGAAGGCCCUCGGGUUGUAAAGCUCUUUUGUUGGGAAAGAAAUCCUGUUGGUUAAUACCUGGCAGGGAUGACGGUACCCAAAGAAUAAGCACCGGCUAACUUCGUGCCAGCAGCCGCGGUAAUACGAAGGGUGCAAGCGUUACUCGGAAUUACUGGGCGUAAAGCGUGCGUAGGUGGUUCUUUAAGUCUGUCGUGAAAGCCCUGGGCUCAACCUGGGAAUUGCGAUGGAUACUGGGCGACUAGAAUGUGGUAGAGGGUGGCGGAAUUCCCGGUGUAGCAGUGAAAUGCGUAGAGAUCGGGAGGAACAUCCGUGGCGAAGGCGGCCACCUGGACCAACAUUGACACUGAGGCACGAAAGCGUGGGGAGCAAACAGGCUUAGAUACCCUUGUAGUC